AUGAGGUUAGCAAUGCCUCCGCACAACAAAAAAAGGAGGUUAGCAACGCCUCCGCACGGGUAAAAAGUUCUAGUGCUAAGAAGACCGUAGCUAGGAAAAAACCUACCACCAAGUAUAGGUCGUGCCUCAGGACAUUUCUAGAGAUGACCGAUAUACCGACCGGAGGUGUUCGGACUGUACAUAUGGAGGUAGGGAUUUUCGGCUUUGAUUACGACCAAAUGAUUGGUAAUGAAGACUUCAUGCAAGUUUUUAGUCAUGAAGAAAUCGGCGUCACCGUUGUCAAUACAUAUAUUAGUGUCCUCAACAACGUAAUCAAAUAGAUUGCGGGUAUUUCAUGUUGAGGUUUAUGCGAGAUACUCUUGCUUUGGGCCGAUUAAAGAUUCCCACCGAUUACUUUGAUGAAUUCAAGUGUGCAUUUUAUACAAAGGAUCAAGUGGACGAAAUCAAAGAGGAGUGGUGUCAAUUCAUGAUAAAGCUGUGUAAUUAAUGUGUACAUUUGUAGUAUAUGUUAUGACUUGUAAAUGUGUACAUAAAUUUGUAUAUAUUUUGAUACAUUUAAGGCAAAAUUGGUUUGAA